rnacentral:misc_RNA from 1 species
UAAUGGAACGAAAGAGGUCAUUAAGCAACAAACGCGAUUGAUUCCAGUGGAAUUAAAACCCAAGGAGAAGCAGAAAGUCGUUUCUUUUCCAACGCGUGUAUAACUCACGUGCGAAUUCCACGUAUAAUUAGGUAAAUGUAAAAUGUCAAAAUUGUAAUGAAUUUAUCAUUUUUAGAUCUGACAUUGUGUACACGUACGUAUACAUUUGGAAAGCUUUAAUAAUUCAACAUUUUUUUAUCGCUCAAACCUGUCUGCAGUGUAGAACAAUUAAUUACCUUACGACGAAUGAUAUUUCUAUCGGCUUUCGGAUUGAAACCGUGGCCACGUGUGAGUAAACUGGACGAAGAUUACCAUAUU